rnacentral:rRNA from 1 species
AUGGCGCAGAUAGCCGUGCCUUCAUCGGCCGUCGCAGCGAUGGCAGCAGCAGCAGUACUGAUCACGACGCUGAUCUCCGCUGCCGGAGCCGGAGCACCGGCGUUGGCUGGGAGACCCGGCUGCGACACUAGGUGCGGGGACGUAACUGUGUCAUUCCCGUUUGGUAUCGGCCGGCCCGCGUGCUCCGCGGGACCAGGUUUCAACCUCACCUGCGACAACACCACCCGUCCUGGCCAGCCCCGGCUGCUCCUCGACGAGCGCGGCAUAUUCGAGGUCAGUGACAUCCUCCCGGAAGAACGGUUGGUGAGCGUGCUGAGACCCCCUAUCUUUGGGGACGCCGCCAGGAACAUCAGCACCUCCGGCGCCGUCAUGAGGGGGUCGUGGGGCGGCGGGGGCCUCCGCGACGACCUCGGCCAGUACUCCAUGGCCAUUCUGCCUGGGCCUGGCGCCGCGUCCCCAAACCUGCUGGUGGUCACGGGGUGCAACGUCCAGGCGACGCUGCUCACCAGAGCGCGUGGCAAGGCCAACGUCGCCACCGGCUGCACCACCUACUGCCCCCUGGACGCUCCCCUCAGCGCGCAAGAUGUCGACGACGACCCCCAGGUCGGCUACUGCAGCGUCCCCAUCACGACGCACCAGACCUACUACGACGUGGAGCUCAAACGGCUCGGCAACGGCAGCGCCACCAUCAACCACAAUGUGCCAGUCUACGUGCUCAUAGCACGUGGUGACUGGUUCUCUCCCGAAGUGGCCAUAGUUGUGAUGAAUCUGGGCAAACCCGGGCCCAAGCAGCAGGAAGACCAUCUGAAUCUGAUGGAGAUUCCUGUGUUUAUGGAGUGGAAGAUCUUCGUCUACGGAUCUCGCCACGACGCCCCGGUCAGCGCUAACGCCGACUGCACCAUGGAAGGCCAAGGAGAUCUCUACUGGUGUCACUGCAAGCCUGGCUAUGAGGGCAACCCCUACCUCGAUGGCGGAUGCCAAGACAUCAAUGAGUGCUUGAACCCAGGAUGGAAUGGAUGUUUCGGAGAGUGCACCAAUAGGGAAGGAUAUUUUGAUUGUGGCUGCCAGAGAGGAUUUGAAGGAAACGCCAACGUACCUUAUGGAUGUGUCAGAACCAAAAAGAACACAGGUUUAAUCAUCGGUCUAUCAGUUUCUGUUGUCCCAUGCGUCAUGUUUUUGGUUCUCGGGGGAAUAUUCAUGAUCCGUAAAGUUAAGAAUUACAGAGCCAAAAAGCUGAAACAGAAGUUUUUCAAUCAAAAUCGCGGGCAGUUGUUGCAACAGCUAGUGUCUCAAAGGUCUGACAUUGGAGAAAGAAUGAUCAUCCCAUUGAAGGAUCUAGAGAAGGCCACAAACAACUUUGAUGAAACUCGGAAGCUAGGUGGUGGAGGCCAUGGUACAGUCUACAAAGGAAUACUAUCAGACCUACAUGUUGUCGCCAUCAAAAAAUCAAAUAUCGUGGUUCAGAGAGAGAUUGAUGAGUUUAUUAAUGAGGUGGCAAUAUUGUCACAUAUCAACCAUAGGAAUGUCGUCAAACUUCAUGGAUGUUGUCUUGAGACAGAAGUCCCAAUGCUGGCCUACGAGUUCAUUUCUAAUGGAACCCUUUGUGAACAUCUUCAUCAUGGAUCACCUAGAGCAAUACCAUGGGGAGAUAGGCUAAGAAUCGCAAAUGAAGUAGGCAAAGCUAUUGCUUACCUUCAUUCUGCUGUUUCAAUCCCUAUUAUACACAGAGACAUCAAAUCUUCCAACAUACUUCUUGAUGAUGCCUUGACAGCAAAGGUAUCAGACUUUGGUGCUUCAAGAUACAUUCCUAUUGAUGAGGUAGGGGCAGCAACAACAACUGCAGUACAAGGGACUAUUGGAUAUCUAGAUCCUAUGUACUAUUACACGAGACGUCUGUCAGAAAAGAGUGAUGUUUAUAGUUUUGGAGUACUUCUUGUUGAGUUACUUACUAGAAAGAUGCCAGUCAAGUAUAGGUCCUCGAAAGGUGAUGGGCUUGUUGUAGAAUUUGCGGAAUUGCUUGAACAAGACAAUCUAGUUUUCAUACUAGAUCCGCAGAUUGUAGAGGAGGGAGGUGCCGAAAUCAAAGAUGUAUCUGCCCUAGCUGCAUCAUGUAUACAAUUAAAAGGAGAGGAGAGACCAACCAUGAGGCAAGUGGAGAUGGCGCUCGAAGGUCUCCAAUCAACCAAUGAUCACGCCCCACAUGAUUUGCAACCAGAACGAAAUGAUUACAGUUAUACUACAAUUAGUUAUCCAUCCACUAAAAUAAGCACAAGUUUGGGGGAUGUGAGUAGACAAUACAGCCAAGAAGAGGAGUUCUCAUUGUCCGCGAGAUACCCUCGUUAA